CAGUAGCCGCGGGAAUACGAAGGGUGCAAGCGUUACUCGGAAUUACUGGGCGUAAAGCGUGCGUAGGUGGUGGUUUAAGUCCGUUGUGAAAGCCCUGGGCUCAACCUGGGAAUUGCAGUGGAUACUGGAUCACUAGAGUGUGGUAGAGGAUAGUGGAAUUUCCGGUGUAGCAGUGAAAUGCGUAGAGAUCGGAAGGAACAUCUGUGGCGAAGGCGACUAUCUGGGCCAACACUGACACUGAGGCACGAAAGCGUGGGGAGCAAACAGGAUUAGAUACCCGAGUAGUCCCUGUCUCUUAUAC
rnacentral:rRNA from 1 species